rnacentral:tRNA from 1 species
GUUGAGGUGGCAGAGCCCGGCAAUGCAAGAGACCUAAGUCCUCUUACUCAGAGGUUCAACUCCUCUCCUCAAC